rnacentral:rRNA from 1 species
UAAUUUUUUCUAUUAGGGAUAAGCUUAAUAGAAUUUCUUUAAAUAAAAAUUAUUUAUUUAAAUAAGGAAUAAAAUUUUCUAAGUUUUUUUGUAAAAAAUUUUUUUAUUAUUCAAGUUAUGUAAGAUUUUUAUAUGAUUAAAUUAAUUUUUUUUUUAAUAAAAUUAUUAAAAAAUUAGUAAAUUUAAAAAAAAAGUAAUGAAAAAUUAAAAUAUAUUAAUAAAAUGAAAAUUUAAUUAUAGUAAUUCGGCAAAUUAAUUUAAUUGACUGUUUAUCAAAAACAUUUCAUCUUGAAAAGUAAUAAGAUGUAUAAUCUGCUCAAUGAUUUUUUAAAUUGCUGUGGUAUUUUGACUAUACAAAGGUAUUGAAAUAAGAUUUUAAAUGAGUGCUAAGAGAAUGAUUAAACAAUUAAAAGCUUUCUUUAAUUAAAAAAUUAAAUUUAAUUUUUUUAGUGCAAAAGCAAAAAUAAAAUUUAGGGACAAGAAGACCCUAUGAAUUUUUAUUGUUAAUAAUUAAAAUUUAAGUUAUUAAUAAUUUAAUUGGGGUGAUAAAAAAAGAAUAAGUAUCUUUUUAGUUAUAAAAUAAGUUCCGUUUUUAGCGAUUAAAUGAAAUAAAUACUCUAGGGAUAACAGCGUAAUAAUUUUGGAUAGUUCAUAUAGAUAAAAUAGUUUGCGACCUCGAUGUUGGAUUAGGAUUC